CAGAAUUUACUACUUAUUUCAUACUUGUUAUAUAACUUCAUACAACAUGGUCAGUGUGGAACAAUGGUUUUCUUUAGAAACAACACAAAAAACUGGCCAGACGCACGGUUAUUUUGUAAAAGCAUUGCGAUGGACUUAGCGAUAAUUGAAUCUGCCACAGAAUUGACCAGAGUACAAAAAUGUGUUGCUGAUAAUGGAGGUUUUAUUGGAGAUGCGUGGAUUGGAGGAUAUUAUAAUGAAACCAAGCAUGUAUUUCACUGGGUUGAUUCUACUUUAUUUAGUUGGACUAAUUGGGAAUCCUCUGAGC